rnacentral:rRNA from 1 species
GCGGAACCAACAGAUUUACUUCGGUAAUGACGUUGGGAAAGCGAGCGGCGGAUGGGUGAGUAACACGUGGGGAACCUGCCCCUAAGUCUGGGAUACCAUUUGGAAACAGGUGCUAAUACCGGAUAAUAAAGCAGAUCGCAUGAUCAGCUUUUGAAAGGCGGCGUAAGCUGUCGCUAAGGGAUGGCCCCGCGGGUGCAUUAGCUAGUUGGUAAGGUAACGGCUUACCAAGGCGACGAUGCAUAGCCGAGUUGAGAGACUGAUCGGCCACAUUGGGACUGAGACACGGCCCAAACUCCUACGGGAGGCAGCAGUAGGGAAUCUUCCACAAUGGACGCAAGUCUGAUGGAGCAACGCCGCGUGAGUGAAGAAGGGUUUCGGAUCGUAAAGCUCUGUUGUUGGUGAAGAAGGAUAGAGGUAGUAACUGGCCUUUAUUUGACGGUAAUCAACCAGAAAGUCACGGCUAACUACGUGCCAGCAGCCGCGGUAAUACGUAGGUGGCAAGCGUUGUCCGGAUUUAUUGGGCGUAAAGCGAGCGCAGGCGG